AUUGAAAAGGCUUGAAACUGUAAAACCAACUGUUGGUAUGAAACGCUCAGAACAACUGAUGGACUAUCAUCGCAAUAUGGGUUAUCUCAGCUCAUCACCAUCAACGAGACGAGUGAGAUCUACUCUUGGCCAAUAUACCCCUUUAAGGGGAGCUUCCAGGACAUCCAGUGCUACCAGUGCUCUUAGUUGUAAGAGUGAGCGAUUGGUUUUUGACACAUCCAGUGGUCCAUUGCUGAGACCUAAACCUCCAAACGUCCGUACAGCUUGGUUAUAAAACCAUUUUUUAUUUCAAUCUUGUUCAUCCAAUUUUUAUUGAAGUACUCUUGCAUAUUACCAUAAUUCUUUGUGUAAAUAUAUGUAAUACUGUUUUAAGCGAUUUAAGGUAUACAAGAGUGGAUUGUCAUUUAUUGUUAUUCAGUGCAAAAUUAUCUAAGAGACAAUUUAAUGUAAAAUCAGUGUUUCCUAUGAGAAUGUAUUUAUAAUGUAUUUAAUAGAAAAGUGGUAGUAUGUGUGUGCAUAUUUUCUCAAUAUAGAAAUUGAUUUGCUUGUCAUGCUGACACAACCAUGGGAUAGUAGCAUUACAUGUUGGACCCAAGACAUUCACUCUGUAGUUCUCAUUUUAUGUGAUUUUUAUAUCUUGUAAGCUUUAAAGCAUGAGCUUAGCUCCUAAAUUUGACUGACUUUGUUUUCUGUAUGUUUAAGAACUAUGUGAUGUAUCUGAUAACUCUAUAUGCUUAAGAAUUUAUAUGGUGAUGUGGUGUGACUCAUAACUCAUAACUUGAUUCUGUAUGCUUAAGAAUUUAUGUGGUGUAACUCAUAAAUUGAUAACUUGAGAGUUAACACUUUCGUAUUAUGAAACAAAUCUUGAAACUUUUUUUCAUUGGUGGAGCUGAUUUAGAUUUGAUGUGCAGAUUCAGAGAAGCUUGUACUGGGCCAAUCCUUGUGAUUCACCAGAGGUUACCUAGUUUCUGUAUAAGUAAGCUGAAUUAGAGCUUACAACUUUGAUCAACCAUUCCAAACCAUUUCAAACCGUGAAUUUUAGACAGUUAAAAUUAGAAGCUCCUCUUCGUGUUUUUAUACAUUCAGGUAAAGUACUAUUAAUGAUUCUGAGAAAUGAGGUCUCAGCUUUUGAGCUACAGUCUACUGCUUUGUGAGUAACUUGUGAAAGGACCAGAUCAGUUGCGUCAAAGCAAAAACAAGUAUUUGUUGAAUCAGUAAAAUAGUUUUACGGUUUUGAGGUGAUAAGAAGCAGAUCCUAAGAUGUGUCAGAGCAGUGUUUUAAGUAAUACUGUUAGUAUGUUGUGCUAUGAUCUAGUUAUUGUAUUAAGAGAGGAGAUUUGUAAUGAGAUAGAAAUGCUUUAGAAAUUUCAGCUAGUGUAUAUAAGGGCUGAAAAAGAAAACUCAAAUAUGAGCAAUAAGGGAAAUAAAUCACACAUUUGUUAAAGCUGCUCCCUUAAAUAUUAGCUAAUGUUCUUACUUUGUUUUGGUUUGGUUUAUUUGAUUGCAUCCUGGAGUAUUUUUUCCAGUCCCACAUUUAAAGGCCUAAUGAUCUUGAUGGACUUGGUAAUGACAGAUAGGGUGUAAUGUAGUUGACUUUUGAAAUCGGCAUAUUUUUCUGUCAAUCUAUAGGCUCUUAUAUAACAAAGUAUUACAUCUCAUAAUUAUCACUGUUUUUCAUUACUGGCCUUUUCAGAAUACCCAUAGAAUGUAUUGGAAAGUUUCCAUGUUAAAUGACAAAUCUUUCUUUUUUUAAUGUGAAUUUUUGAUCUAUAGCCAUAAGAUUUCUUCUUUUUUCAGUGCCUCAGCUCUGUAGCAUGUAUGCUGAACUUACUUUUCUUAAUACCUUUAGCAGUAAGCCAAACCACAUUCUACUAAACAUCAAUUUAAGAUUUCUUGGUCUUAGUUUGCAUUAAUAGAUUUUGUUUAGGAUAGGGCAUGUGAAGCAUUGAAACACUGGGAUUGAAACUCAUGUGAACCCAAUCUGGCUUUAAGGUUCUGCUUCUUUCUUUGGGCUGUGAUGUUCAUUCAGCAUUA